rnacentral:lncRNA from 1 species
AUCUUGUAGCCUUAUUUAGUGGGACCAACUCCCGGAUGGUCUAGAGAAACCCGCCUUGUGAUCUGACCUAGCGGAACCCGCCUUGUGGUCUUGUUUAGUGGGACUAACGCCCGGAUGGUCUGACAAAAUUCGUCUUGUGACCUGACCUGGCGAAUCCCACCUUGUGACCUUGUUUACUGGGACUAACGCUUGGAUGGUCUAGCGGAACUCACCUUAUGAUUUGGCCUACUAGAACCCGCCUUGUGGCCCUUUUUAGUGGGAUCAACGCCCGGAUAGUCUGGCGGAACCCUCUUGUGACCUGGCCUGGCGGAACCCACCUUAUGGCCUCUUCUUAUCUCCUUAAUCUUGUUCCUUAUUACUAACAAC